CUAGCCGUAAACGAUGGAUACUAGGCGUUGAGAGGAUCGACCCUCGCAGUGCCGUAGCUAACGCGUUAAGUAUCCCGCCUGGGGAGUACGCGCGCAAGCGUGAAACUCAAAGGAAUUGACGGGGGCCCGCACAAGCGGUGGAGUAUGUGGUUUAAUUCGAUGCAACGCGAAGAACCUUACCAGGGCUUGACAUGUCCGGAACCCUGCCCAAAGGUGGGGGUGCCUACGGGAGCCGGAACCCAGGUGGUGC
rnacentral:rRNA from 1 species